AACGAACGCUGGCGGCGCGCCUAAUACAUGCAAGUCGAGCGAGAAGACGUAGCAAUACGUUUGUAAAGCGGCGAACGGGUGAGGAAUACAUGGGUAACCUACCCUCGAGUGGGGAAUAACUAGCCGAAAGGUUAGCUAAUACCGCGUACGCUCCUUGGACUUCGGUUCAGGGAGGAAAGCGAUACCGUGGGUAUCGCGCUCUUGGAUGGGCUCAUGUCCUAUCAGCUUGUUGGGAGGUAACGGCGUCACCAAGGCUUCGACGGGUAGCUGGUCUGAGAGGACGAUCAGCCACACUGGCACUGCGACACGGGCCAGACUCCUACGGGAGGCAGCAGUAAGGAAUAUUGCGCAAUGGGCG
rnacentral:rRNA from 1 species